ensembl:rRNA 5S_rRNA 5S ribosomal RNA
GUCUAUGACCAUACCUCCCUGAUCACAUCCGAUCUUGUCUGAUCUCAGAAGCUUAAGCAGGGUUGGGCCUGGUUAGCCCUUAGAUGGGAGACAGAUCUCGACCUUAGUAAUGGGAAGGAAUCAGGGAAAGACA